UUAUGUUGUUAAAAUAAGAUUCUGUUCCGUCAACUGUGUACUCUAAUGAAACUUCCCUUAAGUCCCUAGGAUCACUGUUGAAAUAUUUUGGAGGUGGGGCACAACCAACGCCAUAUGCCCCAAGUGCCAGUGCUACAGGUCCAUCCUGUGCAGGCAAGAAGCACUGUUUCAACCUCAGCAGAUGUGGCAGAUCCCUAAUGAGCAAGCAAGAGGUAACAGUGGCAUGGAAAAACUCCCUGAGAUGUCAUGAGGCAGAAACUUUGAAAGGAACCAGACUGAAAAAGAGAACUAGUCUUCUUCUGGGUGAGAGCAGAUAAUGA